rnacentral:sRNA from 2 species
AUGAACUUUCUUGGAGGUUUGCUUGACAGAUAGAUAUCAGGGGCUGACGAUGGUAGCGUUGCCUGGAAAACUAGACGGUGACAAUUACUAGUUAACUAGGCGCGCUUUCGUAAACUUUGAGAUUAGCGUGGAAAAGGUUUUUUUUUUUUCCCUUUUGUCAAUCCAAGGUUCCAUCCAUUCCCUGUCUGAUAUUUGUAGGAGUAAUUCUUAUUUGGGGGGGAAAAAAAAACCAUCUAGAAUCCACCGGGUUUGUUUCUUUGCUUGCAUUGCACAUUGCCAUCCAUCCGAAUCCACCUACCUGGCGUUGGAUCUAAUCAGGAGUUUGCACGAAGGAAUAUGGGAGGAGAGAGAAAGACGUCAUUAACUACCUAUAUAUUAGUAAUUGUCAAACCUGGCACC